GUUCCUAACUUGUCAGAUCCUCAUGCACCCGGGGCCCUGGGAGGACGUUCCUGUCACUGGCUGCUUCUACGCUGAUUUCGUCCUCAGAGUAGCAGUCCCGAGGUUGAGUGUGACCCCAGAUCACCCCUCCCGUGGAGGUGCUUCUGCAGGGGAGGACCCGCAUGCUUGCUUGUGUUUACGCCUGGGGAAGCCCCUCUUGGCAAGAUGCUUGGAAGAGGCUCCAGAAGGCAGAGCUCAGAGGACGACUUGGUGUUUCAGAAGGAUUCACUUCAUGGUAGGAAAUUCUUUCCGAAGGAGAUGUCCACCAGCAGUGCCCAGAGUGAGCCCUGCCCAGAAAACCCACCCCGCUGUCCCCGCACCUAGCACGAGGGAGCAGAACCACACUCCUGCACCUUCCGUGUUCCCGGCCCUCUACGUAAGCAAUCCCGUUGAAUCUUCCAAACAGCCCUGUUGUCGUUGUCCUCGGUUUACCGAUGAAGAAUCAGGCCUGCAGAGCGUAAGUCAUUUGCCCAAGGUCACAUCUAAAAAGUAGUGAAGCUCUUCCCCACCUGCCCAGCUGUCCCCCACCCCAGAAUUAGAAAGUAGCAAGCUGAAGCUGCAUCUUGAUCUCCCUGAGGUGUCAUCAAGAAAACACAGGAGUCAGAGAUGAAGCCUCCAGCCACAGGGAAGUUUGACCCACCUCGUGCUCGAAAACCCGUUUGGGCGACACAAGCAAAUAAAGUGUCGGCGUUUGCAUGAGCAGCCUCCCAGCACAGAAGAGGAUGCACGGGGAUCUGACGCUAAGAGACAAGCUCUCCCACACGCGGCCCAGAGAGCCAGCGCCGCUCCCAGAACGCCCUCCAAGCGGGCCGCCUCUCCUGCGUCUUCCUUGUCACUUCCUGAGCAGAUGGGGAAACUGAGGCCCAGAGAAGACCAGUGACUUGCCCAAGGUCACAGAGCCUGCAUCUUACUAGUUCCAGCUGUGGCCUUAGCCAUUCUCCCUGCUCAGCCCGAAAACAACCAGCAGGGCUGGGCUUCUGGGUAGACCAGUCAGGGAUCUCCAGGGGCCCAGAUGAGGAAACUGAGGCUCAGAGAGGCGAAGUCACUUGCUUCGAAGCACAAAGGGAUGGGAAGAAGGUUUUGACCCAGCCCCAGAUCUGUUCAUUGAGUGAAGGAAGAGACAGUGGCCAGUCCAGGGACACUGGGUGAGUUCUGUCCUUUCCGAGUUCAGUCUGCCUCCCCCACGGAGGGGGGGAAGUGAGGGGGCAACACAGUGUCACUGCAUCUGGGCUUGGGAUGUUAUUAACAGCUCCCAAAGUGCGGGGGCGGGGAGCUUAGUCACCCUUACCCCACCCCCCGAGUCCAGAAGCCUCCUAGGGGUGGCAGAUGGGCUUCGAGCUGGCUUCUGCAGCCCCAGGAGACCAGGCGGGCCUGGCUGAGCCAGAUGGGGGAGGGGGCGCUGCCACCCGCUGCCCCGCCCACGGGAUGCUCCCCAGCCGGGCCGACCUCCGCGCAGCACACCGGCCGCUCGCUAGACAGCCACCGGGCUCCUUCCCGGGGGGCCCAGGGACCCGUGAGGCCCUUGGAGAGCAGCCUGGGGGAGAGGG
ensembl:lncRNA